GGAGGUUUGGCACCUCGAUGUCGGCUCAUCGCAUCCUGGGGCUGUAGUCGGUCCCAAGGGUUGGGCUGUUCGCCCAUUAAAGCGGUACGCGAGCUGGGUUCAGAACGUCGUGAGACAGUUCGGUCCCUAUCCGUCGUGGGCGUAGGAAAUUUGAGAGGAGCUGUCCUUAGUACGAGAGGACCGGGAUGGACAUACCUCUGGUGUACCAGUUGUCGUGCCAACGGCAUAGCUGGGUAGCUAUGUGUGGACGGGAUAAGUGCUGAAAGCAUCUAAGCAUGAAGCCCCCCUCAAGAUGAGAUUUCCCAACUUCGGUUAUAAGAUCCCUCAAAGAUGAUGAGGUUAAUAGGUUCGAGGUGGAAGCAUGGUGACAU
rnacentral:rRNA from 1 species